CGGAAGGGUGCGUAACGCGUGAGCAACAUGCCCGUCACUGGAGGAUAGGCACUGGAAACGGUGUGUAAUACUCCAUAACAUAUGUUUCUGCAUGGGAGCAUAUUGAAAGAUUGAUUGGUGACGGAUUGGGCUCGCGAGACAUUAGGUAGACGGCGGGGUAACGGCCCACCGUGCCGACGAUGUCUAGGGGUUCUGAGAGGAAGGUCCCCCACACUGGAACUGAGACACGGUCCAGACUCCUACGGGAGGCAGCAGUGAGGAAUAUUGGUCAAUGGGCGGAAGCCUGAACCAGCCAUGCCGCGUGCAGGAAUAAGGCCCUAUGGGUCGUAAACUGCUUUUCCUUUGGGGGCAAUAAGGGUCACGUGUGUCCCGAUGAGAGUACCAGGGGAAUAAGCAUCGGCUAACUCCGUGCC
rnacentral:rRNA from 1 species